rnacentral:sRNA from 1 species
AUGAAUGUCAAAGGAAAAGUAAUUCUGUCAAUGCUGGUUGUCUCAACUGUGAUCGUUGUGUUUUGGGAAUAUAUCACCCAGAAGCCUCUUUCUUGUGGAUAUAUCACUCAAACCCAGAAGUUGAUGACAGCAGUGCUCAGAAGGGCUGGUGGUUUCUGAGCUGGUUUAACAAUGAUCCACAAUUAUCAACAAAGGGAAGAAGACAUAGACAAAGAAAAAGGAAGAGAGGAGACCAAAGAAAGGAAAAUGACACAACAGAGCUUCGGCUAUGGGACUGGUUUAAUCCAAACCCAAAGGUUGUGACAGUGACCAGAUGGAAGGCGCCGGUUGUGUGGGAAGGCACUUUCAACAAAGCCAUCCUAGGAAAUUAUUAUGCCAAACAGAAAAUUACCGUGGGGUUGAUGGUUUUUGCUAUUGGAAUAAUGGGCAUUACUUGGAGGAGUUCAUAACAUCUGCUAAUAGGUACUUCAUGGUCGGCCACAAAGUCAUAUUUUACAUCAUGGUGGAUGAUGUCUCCAAGGUGCCGUUUAUAGAGCUGGGUCCUCUGCAUUCCUUCAAAGUGUUUGAGGUCAAGCCAGAGAAGAGGUGGCAAGACAUCAGCAUGAUGCGUAUGAAAAUCACUGGGGAGCACAUCUUGGCCCACAUCCAACACGAGGUCGACUUCCUCUUCUGCAUGGAUGUGGACCAGGUCUUCCAAGACCAUUUUGGGGUGGAGACCCUAGGCCAGUCGGUGGCUCAGCUACAGGCCUGGCGGUACAAGGCAGAUCCCGAUGACUUUACCUAGGAGAGGCGGGAAGAGUCAGCAGCAUAUAUUCCAUUUGGCCAGGGGAUUUUUAUUACCAUGCAGCCAUUUUUGGAGGAACACCCAUUCAGGUUCUCAACAUCACCCGGGAGUGCUUUAACGGAAUCCUCCUGGACAAGAAAAAUGACGUAGAAGCCGAGUGGCAUGAUGAAAGCCACCUAAACAAGUAUUUCCUUCUCAACAAACCCUCUAAAAUCUUAUCCCUAAAAUACUGCUGGGAUUAUCAUAUAGGCCUGCCUUCAGAUAUUAAAACUGUCAAGCGAUCACGGCAGACAAAAGAGUAUAAUUUGGUUAGAAAUAACG